AGUGGACGUAGGAGCAAGGGUUAGCUCCGAACCACUAUAAAACUGCUUGUGUUUGUGUUGGUUGCUGCUUUUUCUCUUACACUUUCUCUACUCAUUCACUGCAUUUAAAUUGCUUAACCUGAAUACUUGAAAUAGAAUUAGUUAAUCAUUAAACAUAGUUUUUUAAUUGGUCGAGAUUUAAGUCAUAACCCAAUUCACCCCCCCUCUUGGGUUGUCUUCUUGGGCAACAAUACCCCUCCCAACAGUCCAAAAACGACUAAUUUGAGGGGUAUUUUGGGAAAAAAAUAUUUGGAGUCUUAUAAAUACCCCUUUCCUCCCUCAUUCUCACCACACCAAACCAACUAUUCUCUCCUUCUCUACUACUAUUAUUUCUCUCUUCUAAAGUGCCCUUCUAGCAAUUUAAUUUUUAGAAGAGACUACAAUGGUCUAGUAGAUCUUUGAUGCUCAGCCUUUACCUGCUAACAAACU
rnacentral:lncRNA from 1 species